rnacentral:rRNA from 1 species
GAUGAACGCUAGCGGCAGGCCUAAUACAUGCAAGUCGAACGGGAUCCAGAUCAAAGCUUGCUUUGGUCUGGUGAGAGUGGCGCACGGGUGCGUAACGCGUGAGCAACCUACCCUUGUCAGGGGGAUAGCCCGGCGAAAGUCGGAUUAAUACCGCAUGACAUCAUUGAGAGGCAUCUUUCGAUGAUCAAAGAUUUAUCGGACAAGGAUGGGCUCGCGUGACAUUAGCUCGUUGGUAAGGUAACGGCUUACCAAGACUGCGAUGUCUAGGGGCUCUGAGAGGAGAAUCCCCCACACUGGUACUGAGACACGGACCAGAGUCCUACGGGAGGCAGCAGUAAGGAAUAUUGAUCAAUGGACGGAAGUCUGAACCAGCCAUGCCGCGUGCAGGAGGACGGCCCUAUGGGUUGUAAACUGCUUUUAUACGGGAACAAACGUCGGUACGUGUACCGGUCUGAGUGUACCGUAAGAAUAAGGAUCGGCUAACUCCGUG